rnacentral:lncRNA from 1 species
CUCUUCGUUUGCAAGGGACAGCUGUCAAAAUGCUUCCUUCGUCUAUUGGAAAUCUAAUUACUCUUCAAACUUUAGACCUUAGUGGCUGCAAGCACCUUGUGAGUCUACCAACCAACAUUUGUAGGUUGAAAAAUCUGAAGGAACUCAAUCUCUAUGGCUGCUUUGAACUUGAAAAAUUCCCAGAGAUCUUGGAGCCAAUGGAACAUUUGGUGUCUCUUCGUUUGCAAGGGACAGCUGUCAAAAUGCUUCCUUCGUCUAUUGGAAAUCUAAUUACUCUUCAAACUUUAGACCUUAGUGGCUGCAAGCACCUUGUGAGUCUACCAACCAACAUUUGUAAGUUGAAAAAUCUGAAGGAACUCAAUCUCUAUGGCUGCUCUGAACUUGAAAAAUUCCCAAAGAUCUUGGAGCCAAUGGAACAUUUGGUGUCUCUUCGUUUGCAAGGGACAGCUGUCAAAAUGCUUCCUUCGUCUAUUGGAAAUCUAAUUAGUCUUCCAACUUUAGACCUUAGUGGCUGCAAGCACCUUGUGAGUCUACCAACCAACAUUUGUAAGUUGAAAAAUCUGAAGCAACUCAAUCUCUCUGGCUGCUUUGAACUUGAAAACUUCCCAGAGAUCUUGGAGCCAAUGGAACAUUUGGUGUCUCUUUGUUUGCAAGGGACAGCUGUCAAAAUGCUUCCUUCGUCUAUUGGAAAUCUAAUUAGUCUUCAAACUUUAGACCUUUGUGGCUGCAAGCACCUUGUGAAUCUACCAACCAACAUUUGUAAGUUGAAAUAUCUGGAGGAACUCAAUCUCUCUGGCUGCUCUGAACUUGAAAACUUCCCAGAGAUCUUGGAGCCAAUGGAACAUUUGGUGUCUCUUAGUUUGCAAGGGGCAGCUGUCAAAAUGCUUCCUUCGUCUAUUGGAAAUCUAAUUAGUCUUCAAACUUUAGACCUUCGUGGCUGCAAGCACCUUGUGAGUCUACCAACCAACAUUUGUAAGUUGAAAUAUCUGGAGGAACUCAAUCUCUCUGGCUGCUCUGAACUUGAAAACUUCCCAGAGAUCAUAAAGCCAAUGGAACAUUUGAAGUACUUAAAUUUAAGUGGAACAACGGUUA